rnacentral:rRNA from 1 species
AGAGUUUGAUCCUGGCUCAGGAUGAACGCUGGCGGCGUGCUUAACACAUGCAAGUCGAACGAACCUUCGGGUUAGUGGCGGACGGGUGAGUAACGCGUGGGAAUCUGCCCUCAGGAGGGGGAUAACGGUUGGAAACGACCGCUAAUACCCCAUAUGCCGAGAGGUGAAAUGAAUUUCGCCUGAGGAUGAGCCCGCGUCUGAUUAGCUUGUUGGUGAGGUAAUGGCUCACCAAGGCUUCGAUCAGUAGCUGGUCUGAGAGGAUGAUCAGCCACACUGGGACUGAGACACGGCCCAGACUCCUACGGGAGGCAGCAGUGGGGAAUUUUCCGCAAUGGGCGAAAGCCUGACGGAGCAACGCCGCGUGAGGGAUGAAGGCCUCUGGGCUGUAAACCUCUUUUCUCAAGGAAGAAGAUCUGACGGUACUUGAGGAAUAAGCCACGGCUAAUUCCGUGCCAGCAGCCGCGGUAAUACGGGAGUGGCAAGCGUUAUCCGGAAUUAUUGGGCGUAAAGCGUCCGUAGGCGGCUUUUCAAGUCUGCUGUUAAAAAGUGGAGCUUAACUCCAUCAUGGCAGUGGAAACUGUUGGGCUUGAGUGUGGUAGGGGCAGAGGGAAUUCCCGGUGUAGCGGUGAAAUGCGUAGAUAUCGGGAAGAACACCAGUGGCGAAGGCGCUCUGCUGGGCCAUAACUGACGCUCAUGGACGAAAGCCAGGGGAGCGAAAGGGAUUAGAUACCCCUGUAGUCCUGGCCGUAAACGAUGA